GUAGGUGGCAAGCGUUGUCCGGAAUUAUUGGGGCGUAAAGCGCGCGCAGGUGGUUCUUUAAGUCUGAUGUGAAAGCCCCCCGGGCUCAACCGGGGGAGGGUCAUUGGAAACUGGGGAACUUGAGUGCAGGAGAGGAAAGUGGAAUUCCACGUGUAGCGGUGAAAUGCGUAGAUAUGUGGAGGAACACCAGUGGCGAAGGCGACUUUCUGGCCUGUAACUGACACUGAGGCGCGAAAGCGUGGGGAGCAAACAGGAUUAGAUACCCUGGUAGUCCACGCCGUAAACGAUGAGUGCUAAGUGUUGGGGGGUCUCCGCCCCUCAGUGCUGCAGCUAACGCAUUAAGCACUCCGCCUGGGGAGUACGGUCGCAAAGACUG
rnacentral:rRNA from 1 species